rnacentral:rRNA from 1 species
AACGAACGCUGGCGGCAGGCUUAACACAUGCAAGUCGAACGCUCGUGGCAACACGGGAGUGGCGGACGGGUGAGUAACGCGUGGGAACGUGCCCUGAGGUUGGGAAUAACUGCGGGAAACUGCAGCUAAUACCUGAUGCGCCCCGAGAGGGGAAAGGAUUUAUCGCCUUGGGAGCGGCCCGCGUCGGAUUAGCUAGUUGGUGGGGUAACGGGCCUACCAAGGCUUCGAUCCGUAGCUGGUCUGAGAGGACGAUCAGCCACACUGGGACUGAGACACGGCCCAGACUCCUACGGGAGGCAGCAGUGGGGAAUCCUUGCGCAAUGGGGGCAACCCUGACGCAGCCAUGCCGCGUGAAUGAUGAAGGCCUUAGGGUUGUAAAGUUCUUUUGCCCGUGACGAUGAUGA